ensembl:snoRNA SNORD22 Small nucleolar RNA SNORD22
ACCCACUGGAGCUGGCUGGGGGAGAAGAGGAAAGUUUGUUCCAGAGGGAACUGUCUAA